GGGGCUGAUUCUGGAUUCGACGGGAUUUGCGAAACCCAAGGUGCAUGCCGAGGGGCGGUUGGCCUCGUAAAAAGCCGCAAAAAAAUAGUCGCAAACGACGAAAACUACGCUUUAGCAGCUUAAUAACCUGCUUAGAGCCCUCUCUCCCUAGCCUCCGCUCUUAGGACGGGGAUCAAGAGAGGUCAAACCCAAAAGAGAUCGCGCGGAUGCCCGGCCUGGGGUUGAAGCGUUAAAACGAAUCAGGCUAGUCUGGUAGUGGCGUGUCCGUCCGCAGGUGCCAGGCGAAUGUAAAGACAGACUAAGCAUGUAGUACCGAGGAUGUAGGAAUUUCGGACGCGGGUUCAACUCCCGCCAGCUCCACCA
rnacentral:tmRNA from 2 species